GGAUGAGUGGUCCAAACGGUAAGAUACAGCUGUCUUACUUUCGCAUCUGUGAUACUGGUUCAAGUCCGGUCUCAUCCA